UAGUGGCGAACGGGUGAGUAACACGUGAGUAACCUGCCCUUAACUCUGGGAUAAGCCUGGGAAACUGGGUCUAAUACCGGAUAUGACUCCUCAUCGCAUGGUGGGGGGUGGAAAGCUUUAUUGUGGUUUUGGAUGGACUCGCGGCCUAUCAGCUUGUUGGUGAGGUAAUGGCUCACCAAGGCGACGACGGGUAGCCGGCCUGAGAGGGUGACCGGCCACACUGGGACUGAGACACGGCCCAGACUCCUACGGGAGGCAGCAGUGGGGAAUAUUGCACAAUGGGCGAAAGCCUGAUGCAGCGACGCCGCGUGAGGGAUGACGGCCUUCGGGUUGUAAACCUCUUUCAGUAGGGAAGAAGCGAAAGUGACGGUACCUGCAGAAGAAGCGCCGGCUAACUACGUGCCAGCAGCCGCGGUAAUACGUAGGGCGCWAGCGUUAUCCGGAAUUAUUGGGCGUAAAGAGCUCGUAGGCGGUUUGUCGCGUCUGCCGUGAAAGUCCGGGGCUCAACUCCGGAUCUGCGGUGGGUACGGGCAGACUAGAGUGAUGUAGGGGAGACUGGAAUUCCUGGUGUAGCGGUGAAAUGCGCAGAUAUCAGGAGGAACACCGAUGGCGAAGGCAGGUCUCUGGGCAUUAACUGACGCUGAGGAGCGAAAGCAUGGGGAGCGAACAGGAUUAGAUACCCUGGUAGUCCAUGCCGUAAACGUUGGGCACUAGGUGUGGGGGACAUUCCACGUUUUCCGUACCGUAGCUAACGCAUUAAGUGCCCCGCCUGGGGAGUACGGCCGCAAGGCUAAAACUCAAAGGAAUUGACGGGGGCCCGCACAAGCGGCGGAGCAUGCGGAUUAAUUCGAUGCAACGCGAAGAACCUUACCAAGGCUUGACAUGAACCGGUAAUACCUGGAAACAGGUGCCCCGCUUGCGGUCGGUUUACAGGUGGUGCAUGGUUGUCGUCAGCUCGUGUCGUGAGAUGUUGGGUUAAGUCCCGCAACGAGCGCAACCCUCGUUCUAUGUUGCCAGCGCGUMAUGGCGGGGACUCAUAGGAGACUGCCGGGGUCAACUCGGAGGAAGGUGGGGACGACGUCAAAUCAUCAUGCCCCUUAUGUCUUGGGCUUCACGCAUGCUACAAUGGCCGGUACAAAGGGUUGCGAUACUGUGAGGUGGAGCUAAUCCCAAAAAGCCGGUCUCAGUUCGGAUUGGGGUCUGCAACUCGACCCCAUGAAGUCGGAGUCGCUAGUAAUCGCAGAUCAGCAACGCUGCGGUGAAUACGUUCCCGGGCCUUGUACACACCGCCCGUCAAGUCACGAAAGUUGGUAACACCCGAAGCCGG
rnacentral:rRNA from 1 species